rnacentral:rRNA from 1 species
ACUUUCAACAACGGAUCUCUUGGCUCUCGCAUCGAUGAAGAACGCAGCGAAAUGCGAUAAGUAAUGUGAAUUGCAGAAUUCAGUGAAUCAUCAAAUCUUUGAACGCACCUUGCGCUCCUUGGUAUUCCGAGGAGCAUGCCUGUUUGAGUGUCA